AGAGGUCAGAGUCAGACAGAAGUCAGAAAAAUUUGAAGUGCCAGAGAUGCUCACUCUUGGCCUUGAGGAAACAAACUGCCACUCUCUAGGGAGGCUGAGGCAGGAGAAUUGCUUGACCCAAGGGGGCAGAGGUUGUAGUGAGCCGAGAUUGUACUGCUGCACUCCAGCCUGGGCAAAAGAGAGACACCAUCUCAAAAAUAAAAUAAAAUAAAACAAACUGCCACCCUGUAGAGAGGGCCACGUGGCAAGGAAUGAUGUGUGGCUGCUAAGUGCUGAGGUGCUCAGUCCUACAACUGCAACAAAUUAAAUUCUAUCAAUAACCAGUGAACUUGGAAGAGGACCCCAAACCUAAGAUGAGAUCACAGGCCUGGCUGAUAUCUUGAUUUCAGCAGGCUAGUCUGUGUUUGUUCUCAUGAUAGUGGCAAGGUUUAAAAAGAGGAAGAAAAAACGGGUAAUUUUUCAAAACUGCUUGCAUCAAGUUUGCUACUGUCCCAUUGGCUGAACCAAGUCACAAGAGAAGAGAAAUGAAAAUGUAUUCCUACAAAGACUUCUGCAAAAAUGUUCAUAGUCACUUUAUUCAUAAUAGCCAACAACUGGAAACAACCUAAAUAUCCAUCAGUUCGAUAAAGAAUAAACAAAUUGUGGGAGAGUCGCAAAAUAGUAUAUUAUUCAGCAAUCAAAAAAUGAAUUACUAAUCCAAGCAACAAUGUGGAUGAAUAUCAAACACAUUUUGCUGAGCCAAAGGAGUCAGACAGAAAAUAGUACAUCCUGAAUGAUUCUUUUUGUCUGAAGUUGAAGAAUGGGUAAAACUCAUCUAUGGUGAUAGAAAUCAGGAUGAUGGUUGUCAAUAGGGGAUGGAGAUCGAGUGGAACAGGAUAUGAGGGUGCUCUCUUGGUUCAUGGAAAUAUCUUUUAUCUUAAUUGAGUUGGUGGUGACACUGGUGUAUUGAUUUAUCAAAAAUCUUUAAAUUGUACUCUUUAGAUCUAUGCAUUCCACUGUAUCUAAAUUAUACUUAAAAAAAAAAACUCUAAUACAGUACAAAGAACAAAGAACAUUGGUGUUAAAACACUCAUGUUAAAAGCCUUAGAUUUUGAUAUUUCUAGUUACUAGCUGUGUAAAGUCAUGUACACAGGCCUUAAAUUUUUCAUCUAUAAAAUGGGAAAGUUAUUUACCUCACUGGGUCUUUUUUUUACUGUGACAAAAUAUAUUU
rnacentral:lncRNA from 10 species